CAGCUUGUUGGUGGGGUAACGGCCUACCAAGGCUUCGACGGGUAGCUGGUCUGAGAGGAUGUCCAGCCACACUGGGACUGAGACACGGCCCAGACUCCUACGGGAGGCAGCAGUAGGGAAUCUUGCGCAAUGGGCGAAAGCCUGACGCAGCGACGCCGCGUGCGGGAUGAAGGCCUUCGGGUUGUAAACCGCUUUCAGCAGGGACGAAAUUGACGGUACCUGCAGAAGAAGCUCCGGCCAACUACGUGCCAGCAGCCGCGGUAAUACGUAGGGAGCAAGCGUUGUCCGGAUUUAUUGGGCGUAAAGAGCUCGUAGGCGGUUCGGUAAGUCGGAUGUGAAAUCUCCACGCUCAACGUGGAGGCGCCAUUCGAAACUGCCAUGACUUGAGUCCGGUAGGGGAGUGUGGAAUUCCCGGUGUAGCGGUGAAAUGCGCAGAGAUCGGGAGGAACACCCGUAGCGAAGGCGGCACUCUGGGCCGGUACUGACGCUGAGGAGCGAAAGCGUGGGGAGCGAACAGGAUUAGAUACCCUGGUAGUCCACGCCGUAAACGUUGGGCACUAGGUGUGGGACUCUAUCGACGGGUUCCGUGCCGUAGCUAACGCAUUAAGU
rnacentral:rRNA from 1 species